AUAGCCUUUCUGCAACGGCUGCAGAGCUAACAAGAGGAGACCCCGGUUCCUUUCUGUGCCUCAACAUCUCAGCUCACCCCGUGCAACCAAACAGAGCUACUUACCAGGGCUUUGUUUUCCGGUUUGAAAGGCUUUCAUCCGGGUGGUGUAUGGGGUUUUUGACGGAUUGAACCGACGCUUGCAGAAAUCACCAGUGGCCUCUGGUUCUCUUUGCGGCUGCUCUGAACCUGCUUAAGAUGCCUGACGUCUGCUUUUCUCUUUACUUACCCUGAAGCCAUUUCUGAACCGCAAAUCGCCCCUUCCGCAAACCAGAGUCUUUGACAAGUGUGGAUAACUGGGAAAGGCACAGGUGACUUCUCUGUCUCCAUCCUCAGAAUCAAAUUGUAAAAAUCCUCUGUGAUGAAAUGAGAUACGUCUUCCAGUGGAGCUUCUAGCCUGAGGAGAUGCUGGAGGACUAUGUCCAGGAGGCAUAACUACCAGAAAUAGAAGUUUAAGCAGAUGGACUUUUAAGGAACCAGGAGUUAUCAAAUGCACCUGGUAUGAUACUAUGAUGCUCAGGAACAUGAGCUAGUUUUCAGGAGCCCAUAGGUAGGGAACAAAUGUCUUCUGAAGGGCACAAGGCAACGCUGUCACAGCCGGGCCAUCCAGGCGCAUGGAGGCUCCCCAUGACGUCUUUGUUGAGCACACAUGAGAACAUCUGAGGUGAGAGAUCUAAGCUGAACUUCAAGGGUGCAGGCUGAGAGGGCUCCAUCGGCUUUCCCUCACUACCUCCUACUCUCCAAGGGUGCCAUCUCCUCAGUUCUCAUUUCGUUACCCCCCUGGACCUCUUAAAGUGACGCGGAAGGGACGGUGUGAAGAAGCAUCAGCUCUGUUAUCUAUGCUGCUGUUGAGGAUGGGGAAACUGAAAGAAGCUCUUUCUAGAUGCUGUUAAGUUUUCCUCAGGGUGGCCCUGAGGAAUGUUCCAAGCCAGCUGAGGACAGGUGUUAAUGCUCUGGCUGCUCUGUGGGUAUCAGCGUAGGAAAAUGGCCUGGACCACAGGCCUGGAGGGGGUGCACUUGAAAUCCCAAGGACUUUACAUAAGGGAUUAUAAAGAGUUCAUCGAUGAAACAGGGAAACUAAUCAUUCUCCAGAGUGUAAGAUUCCGAUGAGCACACAAGUGCCAGGCAGCUAACCUUGUUCCCCAGAAUUCUCUUCUCCACAGAGUUUAAGGACCAUGAGAGACAUCUGGAGUGACAUUUGGAAGAUGUGAGUGAAACUGCAGCCACAGUUCUUGGAGUUGGGCAAUCUGCACAGGGCACGGGGUGCGGCCGCAACUCAUGAAUGUUGUCACCGAUCUGUUGGCUCUCCUGGCUGGCGUGGGGCAGCUUCCAGGCCUGCUGGCUCUCCUCCUUCAGCUUCUCACAGGCCAGGUGUGUGUUUAGCUCCCUGAUGAAGAACAGAAGCUUCACCUGUAGGACACCCUCAUCGUCAGAGGCGGGGUCUCAGACCGGUGAGGCGCCCAAGCAGGUUCUGGCCCACCUUGGCAGAUUCUAAUGACCCCUGCGGUUCUAUCUUGUUCUCGUUUCCCCUCUUCAUGUCCGUGACCACCUGCCCUGCCGACUUCAGGCUUCACAGCACCCAACACAAAAGCCACAGCCUUCACGUACUGUUUAACCAGCCCCCACAACUGAGCAGAGCCGAAGCCCUGUAAUAAAUCCCUUCGUAUGUAUGUA